rnacentral:rRNA from 1 species
GAGAUCCUACGGGGGUCAGCAGUGGGUAAUAUUGCACAAUUUUUGAAACCCUGAUGCAGCAACGCCGCGUGAGUGAAGAAGGUCUUCGGAUUGUAAACCCCUGUCAUGUGGGAGCAAAUUAAAAAGAUAGUACCACAAGAGGAAGAGACGGCUAACUCUGUGCCAGCAGCCGCGGUAAUACAGAGGUCUCAAGCGUUGUUCGGAAUCACUGGGCGUAAAGCGUGCGUAGGCUGUUUCGUAAGUCGUGUGUGAAAGGCGCGGGCUCAACCCGCGGACGGCACAUGAUACUGCGAGACUAGAGUAAU